rnacentral:rRNA from 1 species
UACGAAGGGGGCUAGCGUUGUUCGGAAUUACUGGGCGUAGAGCGUGCGCAGGCGGUUUUGUAAGCCAGGUGUGAAAUCCCCGGGCUCAACCUGGGAAUGGCAUUUGGGACUGCAAGGCUGGAGUGUGGCAGAGGAGACUGGAAUUCCUGGUGUAGCAGUGAAAUGCGUAGAUAUCAGGAGGAAUACCGAUGGCGAAGGCAGGUCUCUGGGCUGACACUGACGCUCAUGCACGAAAGCGUGGGGAGCAAACAGG